rnacentral:rRNA from 1 species
CACGUAGUUAGCCGGGGCUUCUUAGUCAGGUACCGUCAUUUUCUUCCCUGCUGAUAGAAGUUUACAUACCGAAAUACUUCAUCCUUCACGCGGCGUCGCUGCAUCAGGCUUUCGCCCAUUGUGCAAUAUUCCCCACUGCUGCCUCCCGUAGGAGUUUGGGCCGUGUCUCAGUCCCAAUGUGGCCGGUCACCCUCUCAGGUCGGCUACUGAUCGUCGCCUUGGUAGGCCGUUACCCCACAACCAGCUAAUCAGACGCGGGUCCAUCUCAUACCACCGGAGUUUUUACCACCGGGCCAUGCGGCUCUGUGGUCUUAUGCGGUAUUAGCAGUCAUUUCUAACUGUUAUCCCCCUGUAUGAGGCAGGUUACCCACGCGUUACUCACCCGUCCGCCGCUCAGUCACUAAAGUCUUCAUCCGAAGAGUCUAACCAAAGUGCUUCGCUCGACUUGCAUGUGUUAAGCACGCCGCCAGCGUUCAUCCUGAGCCAGGAUCAAACUCU